ensembl:ncRNA C52E12.9 ncRNA
AUUUGAGCCGAUGGGGUCCUCGUGUGCUCAUAGAGAGCAAUAAUAAGAAGGGCGGAGUGAGUGGGAGAGAAUGGGCGGAGCAACCGGAGCGACCACUUACAGUGCUUUUGUAGAUGAGCAAAUAGAA